rnacentral:tRNA from 2 species
GGAGAGGUGGCAGAGCCCGGUUGAAUGCACCUGACUCGAAAUCAGGCAUACCUUUACGGGUAUCGGGGGUUCGAAUCCCUCCCUCUCCGCCA